UCAUAUAAUAUAUAUUUUUAUUUAUUUAUUAUUUUCUUUUCUUUUUCUUUUUCUUUUUUUUUUUAAAAAAAAGCCUUUAUUUUUGUAAACUUUGCUAUAAAAAAAGGGAAAUUUACACCUAUUACUGUUUUUUCUUAAUUUUUUUUGUUUAUACUGUUACACGCUCAAGUUUACUUUUAUACUAUUUUUGAAUUUUAAUUUUUUUUGGCAGUAUCCUGCCUUUGGAAAGUUUAAUAUACCAUAAUUGUUUUGUUUUGAGGCAUCCAACUCAUCCCAUUCAUUCCCACUUUGCCCACAGUUUAUUGAAACCAAACCUACACUGUUUGUGUGAAAGUGACUAGUUCUUUAUUAUUUUUUUUAUUUUAAUGAUUUAAAAAUUAUUUAAUAAUUAUUAUAUUAUCUUCUGAUUAAAUGGUUGAUGGGAUGUGGGCUGGUGAUAUGUUUUUCAUACUUUUUUUUUAUUUAAAUAAAUUUAAAAAUCUCACACAACAUGUCCCACUAUUUAUCAAACACAUGUCCUUUUAUAAUAUUUGCAGAACAAGAACAACAUGAAGUACUUGUUCUUUUUAGAAGAUGGGUGGACUCAUCUUAUGAACAUGAAGAUAAGGUAUCAUGUAAUAGUAAUUGCUCAUCUUCUGUUCUUCUUCUUCUUCUUCAUGGGUCUCUUUCUUUUAUUUUAUUUUUUCAAAAUCCAUACACUUAUCAUCUUUUUUCUCACUAUCUUCCUCCUUAAGUUCUCUUACUCUCUCCAUUAACAUAUAAAUUUUUUAUUUUAUUUCUUGUUCAGUUCUUCUUCUUCAUCUUCUUCUCAUUUUUUUAAUUUUUCUAAUUUUUAAUCACACUUUUGGAGGGAAAUAAAAGAGUGGUUUUUUUAUUGUGAUUUUCUAGAUCUGUUCUUGCAAAUAUAGGUUAUGGUAAUUCAAAGAACACUAAAUCAAAAAAUACCCUCAAUCUGUGUUAGAGAACUCCGACUCCGAUUUUGAGUUUGAGCCAAAGUUCCAAAGUCUCUCAAAUCUGAUAAGCCGAAAGAAAGUUCAAAAGUCUCCCAAAUCUGAUAAGUUUUAUUUUGUUAACUCUUAGGGAAAGAGAAAAUACCAAGUGAAGAUUGUUCAAUCAACUGAUCUGUUCGAAGACAUAAUUAGGAAAAGGGUUGUCGAGGAUGGGAAUCCAAGUACACCCGAUCGAAAUACUACCAUUCCAAAGUUUUUUUAUGCUUGUUUUUUUUUUUUAUAUUCUGUAGUUUUUUUGUGUUGUUUUAGUAGUGUUUUCUUAUGUUUUUUUUAUAGGAUUGUUGUUGAUUUAGUAAUUUUUUCUCUUUGCCAAAUUUUAUGGUUUUUUCCUGGUGUUUCUAUGAUUCUAGUGUUGAUUUGUCCGUCCCCAACCACGAAGGAGGUGCCGUUUGUGCUUUAUUACUGUUAACAGUAUAAAAAUAAAUAUUUUAAGUCUGGACAAUAUGAAAGAAAAAAAAAGGAGCUUGGACAGUAAAAAAAAAAUUAUUGCCGUGUGGCAGUAUUAUUGUAAAACUUGGGGAAAAAAACAGUAUUUUUAUAAGUUUCCCUAAAAAAAACCAUAAAAAAAUUUCCCAAAAAUAAUUUGAAUACUUAAAUAUUACCUAAUACUCUAGGUAAUUUCACUAAAUAGCAAUUGGAGUACAAUAUAAUUUCCCAAACUUUUGUAACUGUCACAAAUAAAUACUAAAAAUUUUAUUAGUGACUAAACUAUCUAAAAUAAAUACUUAAAACUAUUUGAGUCUUAUAGCAAAACUACUUUACUAAAAUAAUGCGACAUUAUUAUUUAUUACCGAAGUUAUAACUCUCAUUUACGAGGUUGAGUCUGCAGUUCUAGUAAGCUUAGGUAGUUUUGGUAUUUAUAUAUUAUACUUGUAGAAACUUAAUUAGGUACGUAAAGCUGGAACGUAGGUGAAAGGUGUGUAAGUGGAGGCAUCUACGAGAUUUGGGUGGUGGACUUCAAAAUUUGCAGAAGAAUGUUGGGGGUGAGAGUGGUGCAAGGCAGAGAAAAUAUAGAAGUUUGACCAGCCAACGAAAUGUGGUUAAGUGAAAAUCUUAACCACUUGCUUAAUUUUUUUCUUUUUUGGCCUUAACCACAACCGCACAAAUAUGCAGUUAACUAUGGUAUAACAUUAACUAAUAUAUUCUGUUCGAUAUUAACUCAAGUCUUACAUAUAAAAAAUGGAUAAAAGAUGCUUUAAAUACAAGUGUUCCACUACUCCUCAAUACUUAAUAAGUAUGAUAAGGUGCUCAAAAAUAAAAACGAAAACAACAAAAAAAAAAAAAGUAAGGUUUCUUCCACACAUCCCAAAUGCAGAUUUUUUUUUUUUUAAAAGAAAAAUUCGUGAUUAUGUGGCCGAUUCUAAACUCUACCAUGGACAGGCUUUUAAUAUAUAUAUAUUGAAGGCUCCAAUUUUUUUAAAAUACCACGUGAUAUAUAUAACAAUUUGCAUUUUUACGUUGGUUCCCUACAAAGUCAGGGCCGGGUCUGCGUUGAACUUCGCCAACGUCACAAUGAAAACGGUAUCUAAACACUUCAACACCCUCUUUCGAGAGCCCACUCUUUUUGAUCCCAUAAGUUUUUUUUUUUUUUUUUUUUUGAAAGAUGAUCACAUUUUACUUAUCGAUUUGUAUAUUGAUUCAAUGAUUUUUGGCUUUUGGAUUUCCAUUCACGGUGGAAUAUAGAGGAGAAUGACAAAAUGAAGAUGGAGGAUACAGAGGACGAUCCUCUUUAGAGCAUCUCCAAUAUGGUAAAAUGUUAAAAGGUUUUUUGGUGAGGUGUACAUUUGCAAAAUAUUGAGAUGCUUAAAGAGAAAAAUAUAUUAUUCUAAAAAUUUACAUGGAUGUAAUGUUAUAUUAUUGGUGCUAUUAUUUUUUUAAAAAUUAAAGUUAAAAAAUUAUUACAAAUAUAUAUUAAAUAAUAAUUAGUGAAAUUAUUAUAUUGUUUUUAAAGAAUUCUAUAUAUUAAAAUAUUUUUAAAAGUAAAUAGAUAAAAUAAAAUAUUAUAUUUUUAAAUAAUAUUUAAAUUUUUAGCAUUUUAUUUUAAAUAAUGCAUUGGAGAUAGUUGUUAUAUAUCUCUAUUAAAGUUGUAAACGUUGUUCAUUGCAAAAAAAGAAAGUUACACGUUUUUCAACAAUGAAACGCUUUACUACACGUGGAAGUAAAAGAAAAAGGAUAUAAUGCCUGUAAAUGGUAUGAGAGGUAGAUGACGGAACCUAAAAGUAGAAGUGUUAAAUUUUUUUUCGAAACAAUAGAAGUGUUAAUUCAUUAAUUGAUUUGACUACAUUUGAUUGGUUCGACAGGAUAUAGUUCACAUUUGACCUGUACAGGUUUUUAAUCGCUUUUAAUUGAAAAAUCUGGAUAAGUUAGAGUAAUAAUAAUUUGGUUAAUUACUAAUUUUUUUUUUUUUAAAUUUUAACAUGUAUUAAAUUUCAAAGUUUGGUUUAAAAAUUAUUAAUUACUAAUUAGCCUAAUAAUUUAAUGUGGAAACUCUAAAUAUAUAAUUGGAUGAAUUAAUUUAUGUUUUUCAAAAAUAAAAUUUAUUUGUUCUUAAAAUUCAUAUUAAUUUUUUAUUUUUUAAUAAAUACAUAUUAAUUUCUUUUAAAAAAAAAAGCAUAUUAAUUUAAAGUUAAAUAUAAAUAUAUAAGACAAAUAAUCGUUACCGUAUAGAAUUGGUUUCAAGAGGCGCGCGGCCAAACCCCAGGCAUCAUCAUCGUCGUCAUCCA